rnacentral:rRNA from 1 species
AUUGAACGCUGGCGGCAUGCUUUACACAUGCAAGUCGAACGGUAACAGGCCGCAAGGUGCUGACGAGUGGCGAACGGGUGAGUAAUGCAUCGGAACGUGCCCAGUCGUGGGGGAUAACGCAGCGAAAGCUGCGCUAAUACCGCAUACGAUCUAUGGAUGAAAGCGGGGGACCGUAAGGCCUCGCGCGAUUGGAGCGGCCGAUGUCAGAUUAGGUAGUUGGUGGGGUAAAGGCUCACCAAGCCGACGAUCUGUAGCUGGUCUGAGAGGACGACCAGCGACAGUGGGACUGAGACACGGACCAGAGUCCUACGGGAGGCAGCAGUGGGGAAUUUUGGACAAUGGGCGCAAGCCUGAUCCAGCAAUGCCGCGUGCAGGAAGAAGGCCUUCGGGUUGUAAACUGCUUUUGUACGGAACGAAAAGGCUCUGGUUAAUACCUGGGGCUCAUGACGGUACCGUAAGAAUAAGCACCGGCUAACUACGUGCCAGCAGCCGCCGCGGUAA